ensembl:snoRNA
UUGCACAGUGAACACCCAAGGAUGCUAACGUAGCUCCCCCUGGUCUCUUGUGUCUGUGCUACAGUAAACCUGAUCUGUACCUCUGCAUUAGGAGAGUCCGCUCCUCACUUACAUGUAUUCAACAGAUCAGAAUAAAC